rnacentral:rRNA from 1 species
UACGAAGGGGGCUAGCGUUGCUCGGAAUCACUGGGCGUAAAGCGCACGUAGGCGGACUCUUAAGUCGGUGGUGAAAUCCUGGAGCUCAACUCCAGAACUGCCUUUGAUACUGAAGAUCUUGAGUCCGGGAGAGGUGAGUGGAACUGCGAGUGUAGAGGUGAAAUUCGUAGAUAUUCGCAAGAACACCAGUGGCGAAGGCGGCUCACUGGCCCGGUACUGACGCUGAGGCACGAAAGCGUGGGGAGCAAAGCAGG